CAUGUCUCAACACAUGGGCACAUCUACAAAGCAUGCAUUCCUAUUGGGUGUGUGAACAAAAAAGUAUUAUAUUGAAGAAUAAAAUGGACCAAUCAGAGAGGUUGUAACAAAACAAGGCUAUGAAACACCUGAAAGAUGUUUUUAACCUGAAUUUAAGAGCUAAUUCAUACAUAUUUGAAAAUAUUUAUAAUUUUGUGAUAAUGUAUGUGAUGCUUUUUUCCACUUUUAUUUUCGAUUUCAAUUUUUAAUAUUUAAAGAAAAAGUUUUAAACCGUCCACAUAUCAGAGCCUUUGCUUUGGUUUUAUUUUGUAUAUAUGUAGCUAAUCUAUUUGUGUAUUAUAUGAUACUUGUUCCUUUUAUAUGAUAACACUGUGAUAAACUUUGUAUACAUAUGAAGCAGUCAGUCAUUCUGUGUAUAUUGUAUGUUUUACAAUAAAC
rnacentral:misc_RNA from 1 species